rnacentral:tRNA from 1 species
CUGUAGCUCAGUUGGAUAGAGCAACGGCCUUCUAAGCCGUGGGUCGGGGGUUCGAAUCCCGCCAG